UCGCGUUGCCGUCUCCUUCUCUAAAGUCGUCACGCCGCCGUCUCCCUCUCCCUCACUCGUCGCACCUCCGUCAGCCAUGUUCAACGUUCGCAAUGCCGUGCUGUGGUAGUGCUCAGCUACUGAUAUGUGGUGCUCAUUCUUUGAGUUCAUUCUUUGCUGAAUCUCGUUUGGCAUAGAAUACCUCUAGAUUUUUUGCAAGGUGACAAAUUUAGAGCAGCAGCAGAUAAUUACAUUAGGCCUCUCCUAACUAAGGGAGUUCCAUCUCUUUUCUCUGAUCUUUCGUCUUU